CCUGUGUUGCUUACCUAUCGAAAGGAAUCCGACGGUCCCGUUCGUCCCUCUCCGCCCCCAGCCCWCKMGGGUUGCGGGGUGGACGUCAGGCACGCCCCGUGUCCCCGGCAAGCCUCGCCCAGUCGCUUGGCUGCCUCGGCCCACGGUGUGCUAUGCCCGUUCUCUCGGAUGCGGAACGUUGUGCGCGGGCGUGGGGUCUCGUUACGAGACUCCGUUCGCCCGAGCAACGCAUUUUGUCCCUCGACGCGAACGACCGCCGUGCCCGUCUUGAGCCCGCGGCCUCACGGCCCGUCGGGCUUCAUGCGGGCGUCGGCGUCGCGAAGGAACGCUACCUGGUUGAUCCUGCCAGUAGUC
rnacentral:misc_RNA from 1 species